GAUGAACGCUGGCGGCGUGCCUAAUACAUGCAAGUCGAGCGAACUGAUUAGAAGCUUGCUUCUAUGACGUUAGCGGCGGACGGGUGAGUAACACGUGGGCAACCUGCCAGUAAGACUGGGAUAACUUCGGGAAGCCGAAGCUAAUACCGGAUAGGAUCUUCUCCUUCAUGGGAGAUGAUUGAAAGAUGGUUUCGGCUAUCACUUACAGAUGGGCCCGCGGUGCAUUAGCUAGUUGGUGAGGUAACGGCUCACCAAGGCAACGAUGCAUAGCCGACCUGAGAGGGUGAUCGGCCACACUGGGACUGAGACACGGCCCAGACUCCUACGGGAGGCAGCAGUAGGGAAUCUUCCGCAAUGGACGAAAGUCUGACGGAGCAACGCCGCGUGAGUGAUGAAGGCUUUCGGGUCGUAAAACUCUGUUGUUAGGGAAGAACAAGUACAAGAGUAACUGCUUGUACCUUGACGGUACCUAACCAGAAAGCCACGGCUAACUACGUGCCAGCCGCCGCCGUAA
rnacentral:rRNA from 1 species